rnacentral:rRNA from 1 species
GUGCCAGCAGCCGCGGUAAGACAGGGGUCUCAAGCGUUAAUCGGAAUCACUGGGCUUAAAGGGUGCGUAGGUGGCCGAGCAAGUGUCCCGUGAAAUCCCACGGCUCAACCGUGGAAUUGCGGGGCAAACUGCUCGGCUCGAGGAAGGUAGAGGCCGGCGGAACGAUAGGUGGAGCGGUGGAAUGCGUAGAGAUCUAUCGGAACGCCAAAGGUGAAGACAGCCGGCUGGGCCUUUCCUGACACUGAGGCACGAAAGCGUGGGGAGCAAACCGGAUUAGAUACCCCCGUAGUCC